rnacentral:rRNA from 1 species
GUCGUCAGCAGUGGGGGAUAUUGCGCAAUGGGGCAACCCUGAUCGCAGCGACGCCGCGUGAAGCACGAAGGUUUACGGAUUGUAAACUUCUUUUGUUAGGGACGAAAAAUGACGGUACCUAACGAAUAAGCUCCGGCUAACUACGUGCCAGCAGCCGCGGGUAAUACA